AGGAUAAUAGUUAAACUUAACAUCUAAUUUGCAUUUAGAAAACAUUGUAAUUCAAUUUAUCUUA
rnacentral:tRNA from 1 species